rnacentral:rRNA from 1 species
UGGGGAAUAUUGCACAAUGGGCGCAAGCCUGAUGCAGCCAUGCCGCGUGUAUGAAGAAGGCCUUCGGGUUGUAAAGUACUUUCAGUCGGGAGGAAGGUGGUAAGGUUAAUAACCUUAUCAAUUGACGUUACCGACAGAAGAAGCACCGGCUAACUCCGUGCCAGCAGCCGCGGUAAUACGGAGGGUGCAAGCGUUAAUCGGAAUUACUGGGCGUAAAGCGCACGCAGGCGGUUGAUUGAGUCAGAUGUGAAAUCCCCGGGCUUAACCCGGGAAUGGGAUCUGGUACUGGUGAGCUAGGGUCUUGUAGAGGGGGGGAGAAUUCCAUGUGUAGCGGUGAAAUGCGUAGAGAUGUGGAGGAAUACCGGUGGCGAAGGCGGCCCCCUGGACAAAGACUGACGAUCAGGUGCGAAAGCGUGGGGAGCAAACAGG